rnacentral:rRNA from 1 species
AUGGAUGUAGCGACGACCCGUCUCUCGUCUCACCCCUGCUUGCGCCGCCGCCGACACCCCGGCUCACAUCCUCGUCGGCUUCUCCCUCCCCUCAGGCCGCCUAGGCACGCCGCCGCCGCCGCGGCCACCACCUCAUCCGUCAUCGACCAAUUCAGCCUCGGUCCAAUUCCUCAAUGCGAGUGCCUCACUGGUCGAUGCGGGGCGAGCCGAUGUAUCCCCUCUCCCUCUGUGAUGUCGUCCGUCCCUGCGUGUGCCCUCUCCCUCCAAGAUCCCAUCUCUGUGCUGUCUGCUCCAUGGUAG